UCCUCCCUCUUUCUUCCCCGUCGACCCUUUCUUCCCCAUUUCUCUUCUUUGUUGACAGAACCGAGCAGACCAGCGAAGCUGGAGAAGUCGUGCGCCUCCGCCGGAGCCAGACCCAUUGCCGCACGUCGCCGCACGCCGUCGUUGCUCCGUCCUGGCCGCGCGCCCUCUGUCUUCCCCCUUCCUCUCCCGUCGCGGUCUCUCUCCUCCAUCUCUGGUUCUUGCUCGAAGACCCAGCGGAUCUGAGGACGCCAGUGUAGCUAGCUAGCUGCUGGACCGCCGUCUCGCGCCUCCGCCCUCCGCCGUUCACCGCCGAGCUACACGCCGUUGCCUCGCCACUGCCUCGCUCGUCUCAGCCUCCCUCUCGCCUAACUCUCUGUUUCAGCAAGAUGUCCAGCUCAUCCCAGCUGCUGUGGACCACCGCCGGAGCUCCUACCGCCACCGCCUAGGUCCGGUUCGGCCUCCUCCGUCCAUCUAAGCCCUUGCAUGCCUCAACCGAACUUGGAUCUGCCUUUUUUCGGCCUCAGCUAGCAACAAACAGGGAGGAGAAAAAUGGGUAUGGCAGCGGCUUCGUGGCCCGUUUUGGCCGGCUUCCCGAUCCUGGAAGCUAGGCCCGCCUUGGAGUGAAUCGAUCCCCUCGGCGUCCCCAUCGAUUUGAGCCCCUCGGAUCGCUAAUCGGGUCCCUAGAUGACGAUCGUGGAGGACCGAAAGUCCUGGAGUUCGAAAGGUGAAGGCUAAAGAAUCGGCAAAUGGGUCUGACUAAUGGAUGUUAAGACAGUCCCCGUUUUGAUAAGCCGUUAAUUUUGUAAACAGCCUAAGUUUGUAAUUAACUAGUUUGUCUAUAAAGACUCAUCUUGGUUUGAAAAAUAUGAUCCUACUUUUCUAUCA